AACGAACGCUGGCGGCAUGCCUAACACAUGCAAGUCGAACGAGAUCCUUCGGGGUCUAGUGGCGCACGGGUGCGUAACGCGUGGGAAUCUGCCCUUAGGUUCGGAAUAACAGUUAGAAAUGACUGCUAAUACCGGAUGAUGACGUUAAGUCCAAAGAUUUAUCGCCUGAGGAUGAGCCCGCGUAGGAUUAGCUAGUUGGUGUGGUAAAGGCGCACCAAGGCGACGAUCCUUAGCUGGUCUGAGAGGAUGAUCAGCCACACUGGGACUGAGACACGGCCCAGACUCCUACGGGAGGCAGCAGUGGGGAAUAUUGGACCAUGGGCGCAAGCCUGAUCCAGCAAUGCCGCGUGGGUGAUGAAGGCCUUAGGGUUGUAAAGCUCUUUUACCCGAGAUGAUAAUGACAGUAUCGGGAGAAUAAGCCCCGGCUAACUCCGUG
rnacentral:rRNA from 1 species